UACGGAGGGUGCAAGCGUUAAUCGGAAUUACUGGGCGUAAAGCGCACGCAGGCGGUCUGUUAAGUCAGAUGUGAAAUCCCCGGGCUUAACCUGGGAACUGCAUUUGAAACUGGCAGGCUUGAGUCUCGGAGAGGGGGGUAGAAUUCCAGGUGUAGCGGUGAAAUGCGUAGAGAUCGGGAGGAAUACCGGUGGCGAAGGCGGCGCCCUGGACGAAGACUGACGCUCAGGUUCGAAAGCGUGGGGAGCAAACAGG
rnacentral:rRNA from 1 species